AGUGUCAGCAGGCGUCCUGGGGUGCCGACAGGCCACGCCUGCUCCAGCACUGUGUUUGCACGUGGCAAGGCUGCAAGUCCAGAGCAGCCGCACGCCACACUCACCUCCUGUUCUCCUUUCUGGGCUGCACACUCAUGUUCAAGGCAAUGUCUGGCUGACAACUCCUGUGGCUUUGCUCUUACCAUUGACCUCUCCAGUCCACAGUCUGGGGUCAAGGUCACCAUAUCCACCACUGUGAAAGGAACUGGCUCCCAGAUGGGACACCUCCCUUAGGAAGCUUCUGUCUCCCCUGGAAGCUCCUUCCAGAGAUGAGGAAACAGGCUGCCAGGUGUCCCUGAAACUGCCCAAUGACGGUGACGGUCUCACUCUGAGCUCUGGGGACACUUCUGCAGCCCCAACACGUCUCCACCACGAUGCCCCACUCCCGCUCUUCUGCACCAAGAGGCUUCGUCCUUGCGUUGGGAAGAGCUCUGAGCGCCGGGCAGUUGGCUAUCUUCUGAAACCCGUAGGACCACGUUUUGUUUCUGAGGCCAAUGUGUGGAAGUUGUCAAAAUAUCUUCAAGAAUAAUUUUAUUUCUUGCAAAUAUUGAAAAUGAUUCUCCUGAUUUGAACAUCAGUUUUGGCCUUGUGCUUUAAGAGCAUAAUUCUCAGGACUCCACUUGGCCAACAACCAUAGGACCCCAGAGUCCUGCAGGAGGAAGACACCCCCUGCUUUGUGGUCCCCUUUUCUAGGUCACAUGACAUUUCUCACUGGUCAUUUAGCAAGUUGGAAAUUCCAGCUGUGGAUCAGGAUGCACCUUACUGACUAGUCCUUAGUAGCAGUCAGGAUUCUUCUUUUUUUAAUUCUACAAACUGUUUUGUUUACUACCUCUACUUCUAACAUAAUUCGUGCACUUCUAAAUAUCAGGUGUUCCAAAUAGGACUCCAGUUUGUCCACUGUGUACCUAGUAGUGCUGGAUCAACUACAUACAUGUAACCGUGGUUAUAUCUGAAAGGAACAUUCU
rnacentral:lncRNA from 1 species